CUACGGGAGGCUGCAGUGAGGAAUUUUGCGCAAUGGGCGAAAGCCUGACGCAGCAACGCCGCGUGGGUGAUGAAGGCCUUCGGGUCGUAAAGCCCUGUCAAGUGGGAAGAACCCACAGGGUGCGAACAGUACUCUGUGCUGACGGUACCACUGAAGGAAGCACCGGGUAACUCCGUGCCAGCAGCCGCGGUAAUACGGGGGGUGCAAGCGUUAUUCGGAAUCAUUGGGCGUAAAGGGCGCGUAGGCGGCCACUUAAGUCAGAUGUGAAAGCCCGGGGCUUAACCUCGGAAGUGCAUUUGAAACUGGGUGGCUUGAGUAUGGGGGAGGGAAGCGGAAUUCCUGGUGUAGAGGUGAAAUUCGUAGAUAUCAGGAGGAACACCUGUGGCGAAGGCGGCUUCCUGGACCAAUACUGACGCUGAGGCGCGAAGGCGUGGGGAGCAAACAGGAUUAGAUACCCGUGUAGUC
rnacentral:rRNA from 1 species